GAAGUAAAAGUCGUAACAAGGUUUCCGUAGGUGAACCUGCGGAAGGAUCAUUAAAAAAUGGACUCUUUGAAGGUCAUUAAUAAUCCUACCCUUUGUGAAUUUGUUGUUUGAAAUAAUUUUUUUCCAAAAAAUUAUUGAAUGUCUUUCCCUGUUUUGAUGGAGCUGUAUAGCAAAGUCAAUCAGGGGAAUGGCAAACAUAAUUAUUUUUGAAAAGACCUUUUUUUAAAUUAAACUUUUUGUAUUCAUUUGUCUAAAAUUAUUUUUAUAAUAUAAAAACAACUUUUGACAAUGGAUCUCUUGGUUCUCGCAACGAUGAAGAACGCAGCAAAAUGCGAUAAGUAGUGUGAAUUGCAGAAUACGUGAAUCAUCGAAUCUUCGAACGCAUAUUGCACUUUUUUGGUUUACCAAAAAAGUAUGUCUGUUUGAGUAUCAGUAAAAUAUUCUCAUAAAAACUAUUUGCUUUUAUGGUUAUGAGUGUUUUAUAACGAUAAACAAGUUGUUUCACUUUAAAUUCUUUGUCCUUUAAAAAAUCAUUAAAAACUGAUUUUUUUUUAAAAUUGGAUAAAAUUUUCCGUAAAAAGGAAUAACCUAAACAAUUUUAAUUAAAAUUGGUUUGAUUUCUUUUAAGACUUUAAAGGAAAAAAAAGUAAAAAUUAACUUGAUCUCAAAUCAGAUAAGAGUACCCGCUGAACUUAAGCAUAUCAAUAAGCGGAGGAAAGGAAACUAACUAGGAUUCCCUCAGUAACGGCGAGUGAAGCGGGAAGAGCUCAAAUUUGAAAUCUUCAAGGUUCUACCUUGACGAAUUGUAGUUUAAAGAAGUGUUUUCUGUUGGAGUUUUGGUAAAAGUUCUUUGGAAUAGGACAUCAUAGAGGGUGAGAAUCCCGUAUUUGACCAUUAUUUCCAACUUUGUGAUACACUUUCAAAGAGUCGGAUUGUUUGGGAAUGCAGUCCAAAAUGGGUGGUAAAUUUCAUCUAAAGCUAAAUACUGGCGAGAGACCGAUAGCGAACAAGUACCGUGAGGGAAAGAUGAAAAGAACUUUGAAAAGAGAGUUAAACAGUACGUGAAAUUGUCAAAAGGGAAGCGUUUGACACCAGUGUUGUUUUCUCGAAAAUCAAUUAAAAAUGGUGGAUUUUGUGUUGUAUUGACUUUAUCAGCUUUCUGCACUUUUUUCCUAUCUUUUUUAAUGCACUUUUCGUUUAACAAGUCAACAUCAAUUUCUUUUGUUGUAAAAGGGUCAUUGGAAGGUGGCUUUCUUUUCGGAGAAAGUGUUUAUAGCCUUUGGCCUCUGCAAUCGGAGAGAUUGAGGUCUGCAGCGUAGAUCCUUCGGGGUUAGAUACAUUUGUGCUAAGCUAUAGCCUUUCAUAGACAACUUGUUGACUAUGAUCAGUCAUGUAGCUUACACGCUUAUGCUAUUUUACCUACGCUUAGAUGUUGAG
rnacentral:misc_RNA from 1 species